GUGGGUGAGUGAGUGAGAGUGAGAGUGUGUGUGUGUGUCUGCGUGUCUCUGUGUGUAUGUGGGUCAAGUUGACCCAAACAUCGUAUGAAAGACAUAAAUGUGUUUGGGAUUGUAGCAUGUGUGGUUUUUUUUCAUUUACAUGUUCUUCACAGAAAAUAAGCUAAGGCCAUGAAGUUUCAGGUUGAAAAACUGUAUCUUUGUAUCAUUUUUUUGUUUUUAGUAAAAUUUGACCCAAACACCACUUGAAGGUUAAGUAGAAAGUGAAAAUACUCCCACACAACGUUUCAGACUUCUGACCUUUCUCAAGACAUUGCCUUGAAAUGUCUUGAGAAAGGUCAGAAGACCGAAAUGUUGACAAAUAAUGCAGAGCCCAUUUCUGUUUGCUUCACUUACUACUUGAAGAUAACUAUGGAGCCUUACACCCAGCAGCAGAGCCUGAGAAGGUUUUAGAGAGUGCCUUUUUAUUUGCUGCUCUGAUAGAAGUCUAGUUUAAACACAGAAGAAUGUGACACAUCCAAACAAACCCGUGGGUCAGGUGCUGGAUAAAAGGGCUCAAAGUGCAAAAACAAAGAAUUACCUGCACACUCAAUAGUUUUUGAAGCGCCCUAUAAAGUAUAGUUUAUUUGUGACGUUGCAAAGUUAUCUCAGUAAUAGAUCACAAGCUGUAGUAGCUGAUGGCUAUCAGUCCAGUUUUAUGAAUGUGAACAAAGGUGCACCACAGGGCUCUAUUUCAGGACCACUUUUAUUCACAAUUUUUAUAAAUGAAUUAGGAGAAAACCUUAGGAACAGUAAAAUUAAUUUGUAUGCAGACGACGCUAUUCUCUAUACAACAGCACCCUCUGCUGCUCAAGCUGUUCAAAAUAUUCAUUUUGACUUCUGUGCUGUACAGCAAACUUUACUUGAUAUUAAAUUACUGUUAAACUCAGAUAAAACUGAAUGUAUGUUGCUUUCUAAAAAAUUAACUGUGCCAAUGAUGUAAAUAUUAACAGUCUGGAUGGUACACAAAUUGAAAGAGUAUCCUCUUACAAAUAUCUUGGUUUCUGGAUUGAUGGUAAUCUGUGCUUCAAAAAGCAAAUUAAUGAACUAACUAAAUCACUAAAAGCAAAAUUGGUAUUCGUUUACAGAACUAAGACUUGUUUUACCCAGAACUGCAGAAAACAAAUUAUUCAAUCACCUUUUUAUCCAUUUCAGACUACAGCGAUACAAUUUAGAUGCACAUUCCUGCUGCUACACUUAAAUCUGUAGAUUCAGUAUAUCAUUCAGCUCUUAGAUUCAUAACCAGAGAUAGCUUUAGAACACAGCAUUGUAUAUUAUAGGAGAAGUUGGGUGACAAUCGUUGGCAGUGAGAAGGGAACAACACUGUAUUCUAUUUAUUUACAAAGCACUACUGAGCAAACUUUCUACGUAUAUCACAUCUUCUCAAUUAUAGAUCACUAUCACACUACACUAGAUCCCAGUAUUAUUUGGUUCUUGAAGAACAUCAGGGCAGCCUUGGAAAAGAGAGCAUGCUCUUAAUGGCUCCUCCCUGCAGGAAUAAAGGUGUGUCAACUGCAUAGCCUCAGCAAGAAGGAAAUGCAGAGAUGAAUGAGGACAGAAACGUCAACAUCAAUAUUUCCAAAGAAGUCCCAUUCACUUUGUCUCACUUCACCAUCAAUGAAAAUUAUUAGUUUAACGUGAAUUAUAAAGCUAAGUAAGCUCAUCUUAAGAAGGCUAGAGUUUACGGUGCUAUGGAUGCAGAUCUAACCGUAAAAUCUAACAGACUAUUUUUUUAGUGGAAGCAAUAAAAUCAUUUUUAAAUCAAUAAAACCAUUUUAAAUCAA